ensembl:lncRNA
AGAGGCUUAAAUCAACAAUCACUUAAGAUAUCAAGACUAUAUAAAUUACAAUGAAUUUAACAAAAAAAACUCUUAAACAUCCAAUAUUGUGAGUGUUUGAAGGUCCCUGCUGAGUUGAGCAACUGUGGUGAGUAACCAAUGACUCAAAGAAGUGGCAGAAGUUCAGGUCUCUGUUCCACAGAAAGCUUAAAUGAUGCUGCCAUGUUUUGUAUUCCUGGCAGCUAGUGAUGAUGGCACAUCCUAGAAGAUCUUUAUCUUCAUCUAUGAACAUGGCACACUUUGUUCUGUUUAUUAUCAGUAUUGAUGGCCAGGAAAUUAGUUUUAGUGCUCAGCAGCCAGUGGUCCCCAUUGAAAUGAUAUGAAAAAGAGCAGCGUGAACAUCCUGCCCAACAUCUCCUUUUGUUUGAUGGCGAACAGAAAGUCAAAGGGGUUUGGACUGACAUGAAGGUAAGUAAAUGAACUAUUUUAAUAAGUUUUAAAAACUUUUGUUUCUUCAAGCAAAGAGGUUU